UACGUAGGUGGCAAGCGUUGUCCGGAUUUAUUGGGUUUAAAGGGUGCGUAGGUGGUCUAUUAAGUCAGUGCUGAAAUAUCCCGGCUUAACCGGGAGGGUGGCAUUGAUACUGAUGGACUUGAGUAAAGUUGAGGUAGGCGGAAUUGACGGUGUAGCGGUGAAAUGUGUUGAUAUUGGAAGGAACACCGGAGGCGAAAGCGGUGCACUGGGGUUGGUCUGACGCUGAGGCACGAAAGCCAGGGGAGCGAACGGG
rnacentral:rRNA from 1 species